CCAAAAUUGUAAUGAUUUACAAUAAAGAAAAACUACCAUCCUCCAUACACAUGGCCGAGAAAACACUGGUAUAUAGAUAUAUAAUUUCCUAUUCAGAUGAAUUAAAAAUUAGAAUAAAAAAGUUCUAAGGUUCACGUAUUAACUUUUUUUAAGCAACUUGUUCUAUUAUUAACAAGUGAAUGUACAACUAAGAGUAGUCGGGACCACUCUUACAAAAAAUAUCAAGUGAAGCUAUUGCGAAUUGUUCUUGGUACACCCCUAAGUUGCUAAGUUUGUUUUAAGAACACUUAAUAACUGACCAAAAUUUAAGAAUGAUUUUGUGUUACCGGAAUUAGUAAGAUCACUUUAAGGUAGACGUAAGAAUCGUUCUUAAAUCAUGCACUUU
rnacentral:lncRNA from 1 species